rnacentral:rRNA from 1 species
GCAGUCGAACGGUAGCACAGGAGAGCUUGCUCUUUGGGUGACGAGUGGCGGACGGGUGAGUAAUGUCUGGGAAACUGCCCGAUGGAGGGGGAUAACUACUGGAAACGGUAGCUAAUACCGCAUAACGUCUACGGACCAAAGUGGGGGACCUUCGGGCCUCACACCAUCGGAUGUGCCCAGAUGGGAUUAGCUUGUUGGUGAGGUAAUGGCUCACCAAGGCGACGAUCCCUAGCUGGUCUGAGAGGAUGACCAGCCACACUGGAACUGAGACACGGUCCAGACUCCUACGGGAGGCAGCAGUGGGGAAUAUUGCACAAUGGGCGCAAGCCUGAUGCAGCCAUGCCGCGUGUAUGAAGAAGGCCUUCGGGUUGUAAAGUACUUUCAGCGGGGAGGAAGGGAGUGAGGUUAAUAACCUCGCUCAUUGACGUUACCCGCAGAAGAAGCACCGGCUAACUCCGUGCCAGCAGCCGCGGUAAUACGGAGGGUGCAAGCGUUAAUCGGAAUUACUGGGCGUAAAGCGCACGCAGGCGGUCUGUCAAGUCGGAUGUGAAAUCCCCGGGCUCAACCCGGGAACUGCAUUCGAAACUGGCAGGCUAGAGUCUUGUAGAGGGGGGUAGAAUUCCAGGUGUAGCGGUGAGAUGCGUAGAGAUCUGGAGGAAUACCGGUGGCGAACGCGGCCCCCUGGACAAAAACUGACGCUCAGGUGCGAAAGCGUGCGGAGCAAACAAGAUUAGAUACCCUGGUAGUCC